CCUCCUCUGCCUUAAGUUUAACUCAGGCUGGGUGAAUAUAUACUUAAGACUCUUAUGGUCCGUAAGUAUCUGAACUUUGGCGCCAUACAAGUAUGAUCGCCAAAUCUUUAAGGCGAAUACUACCGCAGCCAUUUCGAGAUCAUGGGUGGGGUAGUUUCCCUCAUGUUUCCUCAACUGCCUGGACGCAUAGGCAAUGACUUUCCCAUGCUGGGUCAAUACGCAACCUAGUCCAGUGAUGGACGCGUCCGUAUAGACCACAUAUGGUUGAUCGGCCUCCGGAAGCACUAGGACGGGUGCGCUAGUCAGCAUGUUCUUAAGUGCGGAGAAACAUUCCUCACACUCUUCAGCCCAUGUGAACUUAACGUCCUUCCCAGUCAACCGCGUCAUAGGCUGAGCCAAGCUUGCGAAUCCUUUCACAAACUUUCUAUAAUAACCUGCCAGCCCUAGGAAGCUUCUGACUUCCGUGGCACUGCGUGGUCGAGGCCAAUCCUUGAUUGCCCUGAUCUUCUCUGGAUCCACCGAGACGCCCUCACCGGACACAAUGUGGCCGAGAAACCCAAUGCUCUUCUGCCAAAAACUGCAUUUACUGAGUUUUGCAUAGAGCUUGUGUUCCCGUAAUCGUUCCAGCACGGCUCUCAGGUGUUUUCGAUGAGAUUCCUCAUCCUUGGAGUAAAUCAGGAUAUCAUCAAUGAAGAUGAUCACUGAUUCGUCCAGGAAAUCUCGGAACACGCUGUUCAUCAUUUUCAUGAAUGCAGCAGGCGCAUUGGUCAGACCGAAUGGCAUAACCACAAACUCGUAGUGGCCGUACCUGGUCCGGAAUGCUGUCUCUCUAAUAUCAUUUGGCUCUAUAGGGAUCUGAUGAAACCCUGAGGCCAAAUCAAUCUUAGAAAACCACUUGGCUCCUUUGAGUUGAUCCAACAACUCAUCUAUUCUGGGCAACGGGUACUUGUUCUUCACAGUAACCCGGUUCAACCCUCGAUAGUCAAUACACAGACGCAUGCUACCAUCCUUCUUUUUCACAAAGAGGACUGGUGCACCCCAAGGAGAGCUACUUCGACGUAUGAACCCCUUGUCCAGCAAUUCUUCUAAUUGCUUCUUUAGCUCGGCCAUCUCGGCCGGAGCCAUUCGGUAUGGACUCUUGGACAGCGGAGCUGUCCCUGGCUCUAGUUCAAUCGUAAAUGGAUCCGACCUAUCAGGGGGGACACCCUGAGGUACCUGGAACACAUCUGGGAACUUCGACACCAACGAAUCCUCUGAAAGGUCUUUCAGACAGACAGAACUGCCCGGCUAUGUAGUUGUAAUUGUAGCCAAAAAGGACUGACAACCCUGUUCCAACAUCCGAAUCGCUAGAACUGCUGAAACCAAUACUUUCUCUUGAGCCGGACACAUCGGGUGAGUUCCAGUCUCCAAUCGUACACAUCCUCUUUGGUAGUCGAGAGUGGCCCGAUACUUUCCCAACCAAUCCAUGCCUAGGAUCACAUCGUGAUUCUGUAGGCGCAACACAAUCAGAUCUACAGGCAGAUUUUUCUCCUAUAUCAUUACCGGGACAUUAGUCAUGAGCACUAGUGAGUGCAUGAUUUGCCCACCGGCCGCCCUCACUAGUCUCGAAUUAUCCCCAGAACAGAGGCAGAACAGACCCUUUCCGACCAGUUUCGGACUCACAAAACUAUGUGUAGCCCCUGUGUCGAAAAGUACGUGGGUUUCAACACCACCAAUCAUGAGGGUCCCUAUAAGAGACCCACAUCAGAAUCCCCUAGCCACUCUAGGUUCCAGACCAAGCAUUCUAUUGAAUGUAAACAGAUAAAUUCAGAAAUUACCAGAGAUCGAAUCAAACGAUCCAGAAGCGAUUCCCAUGGCCCUAAUCAAAAUAUGUCGGACGCGACAAUAUAUAUUGUGUCCGGGUCCUUAGUUAAGCCAUUUGCUUUGGGAACCUAGCUCCUAAAUUCAAUUUAAUCCUGAAAGAAGAGCAUUCAACCAAUAAAUUUUAAAAUAAAUAUAUGUAGUUAAUUAGAAAAGCAAUCACUAAUUUAAAUAUCAAAUGGCAUUAGCGGAAAAACAGUUUGUCGUUUGUUAAUCUAAAGUGAAUAGAAGAAAAAAACCAAUCGAUGUUGUAGAUGGGUUUGAACUGAAAUGGUGGAAAAGUGGUUGAGUAGAGUUUUAUGAGUUCACCACCAUAAUAAUAAGAAAAUAAUCCCAAAUGCAAACUCCAAAUAACUUCAAAUAUAAAAACAAGUCCUAACAAAUUAAUCAGAUCACAAUAGUAAAAGAAAAAUGCAGAAGCCAGCGAACCUAUACAGUAAGAGAAUUGAAUUAUUUUGUGAAGCAUCAACAUAAAUGGUUAUAAUUCUCAGACCCACCUAAACCUACACAUUAUUACUACAAUUUUUAUCUUUCGUUUAUCUUUUGUUUUUCAUAUUUUUCAGUCUCUAAUCAAUUUUUUUUCAUCUCCUCUUAUUUCUUCUUGUGGGUCCUCUUCUCCCUGACCAGUGACCUCUGUGCAUCUCCACGUUUUACUAAUAGCUUUGCUGUAUCUACUGUUACCACUCUUAUUGUUACUCAAACUUAAAUGUCACUUAAAUGCAAACUAUAUAUUUAGGUGAAAACCAAAUCAAAUAGCAAUAAAAAACCACUAAUUAGCCCAAAACUUGGAAACCACUAAGCCCACCAAUGAUUUAUGUCCUGUCCACAAGUCGAGAAGAGUCAAGUGACCUUUGACUUCUCUUUUAACGUCAGGCGACUACUAAUUUAUAAGUAUCUCCUUAACUAAAUCUUAGAGAAGCACAAAGACAAAGGGUCUACGUUAAGUCUACCUAGAUUCUUGAUUAGAGGCUUGCCCUACAUUGUAAUCACUCAUAAGAGUGGAAACUUACUUGGGAUUAAUUAGCUUCACAUGAUACCAGAGCUAGCUUGCAUUUUCAGAUACAAAUGUGAAAGGUGUCAUGCAAUAAAACAUAAGCAAAUGUGCAAACAAAAAAAAAACAUAAGCAACGUACUGAGUUUAAUGAAAUGAAAACGUAAACAGUAAUACGGAUAAAUCAUUCAUAUGGGAGACAGCUUCUCAUACGCGUCCAUGCCUUUGCAUGAAAAAUUAAUUUUGACUCUUCUUUCCAGUAUUUUUUUUGUUUUCUUGUUUUAAUUAUGAUUCAGAAUUCCAAGUGUUAUUGCAAUCACCAGGGGUAAUAAAUGGGAUAGUAUAAAUGCACCUGCAACAUAUCAACUAACCACACACAACUCCACCUGUUUGUAUUUACUUCAAAAACAUUCAAAAACCCUUUGCUUCCCUCUAUUUAUAAAUCCUAGUUUCCGGUUUCAUUCUACCACACAACACCAUUUGCACAAACACUUCUGCUUUCUCUUUGUUUUUAAAAUGAGAGGGAUGAAGAGUCUUACCAUUUGGGCUAUCUUUGCUGCUGUACUCUCCCAGCAGCUCUUUGCCUCUGUUGCUUCCAUAAAGUUUGAGGAUGAGAAAACAUACUACUCUCCUCCAGACCCAAAUGCAGGAUCUCCUCCCUCUGGUAAGCAAAAAAAAAAGAACACAUACACACAUGCACUCCCAACUUUGUAUGCAUUAAUAAGAAUCUUGAUUUUAAUUAGUGUUUUUACUUGACUGAUCAUCGUUAUUGUUUGACAUGCAGGAACUCCUCCAUCACACGGAGGAUACACUCCAACUCCUCCAACUCCAUCACAUACUCCUCCCUCUAACUGUGGAAGUCCACCUUACGACCCAACUCCUCCUUCUCACACUCCAACUCCUUCCACUCCAUCUCACACUCCUUCAACUCCUUCUCAUACUCCAUCACACACUAGUCCUCCUUGUCACUGUGGAACUCCACCUUCACACCCUUCCACACCUUCACACCCUUCAAGGCCUUCACACCCAUCUAGGCCUUCACGCCCUUCCACGCCUUCAAAUCCUCCUUCUGGUGGAUAUUACUCAUCUCCUCCACCAAGUACUCCUGUCGUUGUGACUCCACCAACACCCAUUGUUGACCCAGGCACACCCAGUACUGGAGGAACCCCUCCUUCUUCUGGUGGAUAUUACUCAUCUCCUCCACCAAGUACUCCAGUCGUUGAGACUCCACCAACACCUAUUGUUGACCCAGGCACACCCAUCAUUGGAGAAACCCCACCAACUCCUUCCGGUGGAUAUUACUCAUCUCCUCCACCAAGUACUCCCAUUGUUGUAACUCCACCAACACCCAUUGUUGACCCAGGCACACCCAUCAUUGGAGGAACCCCACCAACUCCUUUUAUUGACCCUGGCACUCCUGGAACCCCCUUCCUUCCUGCUCCUUUUCCACCAAUCACUGGAACAUGCGA
rnacentral:lncRNA from 1 species